GUAUCAAUAUGGUGCUUCUGGGGAAGCCCGGGACCACCAGGUCAUCUAAGGAGGGGUGCACUGGCCCAGGUCGAAAACGGAGCAGGUCAAAGCCCCCGUGC
rnacentral:sRNA from 1 species